GUCGCCCGGCCCCGUGCUCUUUUCACCGGGCCAAACUGCUUCUCUCUCUCGAGUUGACCUAGUCCUUCCUGAAUUUCAGGGGGAUUGACAUUCACAGCCCCAAAGUGAAGAGGGUAAAAGCGAGCCGUCGGCCAGAGAGUGGAACGUUGCCGGGGAAGUGAGUUGAAGGUUCUCUUGAGGCCUACUGUCUCCUCGACCCAGUAGAUGCUCAGAAUGGGCUGCUGAAGCCGUGCGUAUUUUCCCCCAGCAUGAAGAUGGACGUCCAGGAAGCCAACCGACGCAGAUUCUCCGACGAUUCCAUUCCGCGGUUGGAGUCGGAAGCCUGGGCUGGACGGGUCGCCGAUCUGGGAUGUCAGAUGUCAGUCCUGUUUAUUGGGCGCUUACUGUGUGCAGAGCACUGUAAUAGGCACUGGGGAGAGUGCGA